UACAGAGGUCUCAAGCGUUGUUCGGAUUCAUUGGGCGUAAAGGGUGCGUAGGCGGCGCGGUAAGUCGGGUGUGAAAUCUCGGGGCUUAACUCCGAAACUGCAUUCGAUACUGCCGUGCUUGAGGACUGGAGAGGAGACUGGAAUUUACGGUGUAGCGGUGAAAAUGCGUAGAUAUCGUAAGGAAGACCAGUGGCGAAGGCGGGUCUCUGGACAGUUCCUGACGCUGAGGCACGAAGGCCCAGGGGAGCAAAACGGGG
rnacentral:rRNA from 1 species